UGCAAACGGAGGAGGAUCCAUGAUGUUUGGAUACCGGCCUGUGCAUGCAGAUUAAAUGACUGACCCCACCAAGGCGAGGCACCGUCACUCUGAACCGGCUCAAACCGGCUCCUGUGGUUGGUUCACGGCUGGCUGCACCGCGGGGGGCCCUAGGGUAGCCCCAUACUGUACAUCUGUCCUCACGAUGUUCCCGCCCGGGGUCCGGAGCCCCGUCGAUCAGACGUGGAAGUUCCCGAGAAGAUGUCUAAAGGGAUCUACAAGCAGAGUCAGAAGGUCACAUUUAUACUCAGCUGGACAAGCUAGCAUGGAAUAUGUUCAUAAUGCUGUUUGACACAAGACAGGUAUUAAGGUCUGACUAUUGUAAAGUAGCAAAGCUGUAGAAUACCCCAAACUUUACAUCAACAUUUGAUCAGAAUGUUUGUUGUUUUUCAGGGUUCUUGCUUGAAUCCUUACCUUUUACUCUUCAUAAAUGAUUUCAAACAUGUGUUUUGGACAGAUGAUAUAGUGCCAUGAUAACUGGACCUCU